CCCCCUUCCUCGAUUCCCUUCUUCCCCGACUCCUCUCCCUCGCAAACCUGUUUCAUCGCCGGUCGCCGAACAUCAACGCCGAUCGCCAGCUGAACCUUCCUCCUCCCCUUUUCCUUCCAUGGUAUGGAGUCUUUCUUCUCUCCUGCCCUCUCUAUUUUUCUCUCUCGCGUGGAUGCCCGACGUCGACGAAGAACGACCUCCUCUACUGCGAUUGUGUCCUCGCCGAGUCGCCUGAGAAAGUAUCGCUGAAUCUCGAUGGUCACAGCGGGGCUAGGGCAAACUCUGCAACUCGCUGGCGGAUAUGAGUAGAGCUGUGACGAUUCCAUCAGACCUUCUGUUGUAGCUACCUUGUCUCAUCUUGGAGGUGUUUGAUGAAAUGCCUUUAGUGUCCUCUCUCCUCUGUCUGUGCCGGACUAGUUGUGAAUUGGUGGGGAAGCUCUAUUUUCCUCCACAGCAACUUUGGAUUUCUUCAUCAAAGGGGGUGGCUGCAGUUUUGGAUCGAGUGCUCUUCCUGAUCUGGAAUGGAGGAUGCAUCGGAUCAAAAUAGGGGUGGAUUUCUCUUGAGCCGAUCACAACCUUCUACACUUCUUGCGGCUGUUAGAGUCUCGGAUGAAGAGGUGGAGGUUGGUUGAGGUGAGAAAGGUUCUAUUUGUUAAGGAUUUCAGUAAGUCUUUGCUGUACAUGUUGAAAUCUGGACUGAUUCUCGGAAGAAGUGGUUGUGGGUAUUCUUUGUAGCUUCUCGACAGUGAGUUGUAGGGUUGUUGAGCUACUGGAAUUGCUGACAUAAUUCAAGGUAGAUGGUUGGAGUGUUGCUCGAAGUAUCCUGUCUGUCGGGUCCUACGUCACA